rnacentral:lncRNA from 1 species
GUGCCAGGUGCUGUAUGGGGCCUGAAAGGUAAUCUCCAGGAGUCCUACAGAGCAGGUAUCCAUUCUACCUUUCUCUCAGAUAAGGAAGAGAUAUUACUGUGCCGAAAAACUCAAGAUGCCAGCCGCGAAGACAUACAUGGAGGAAGCGGCGCAGGAAGAAAAAUAAAGCAGGUGUCGAAGGGGCCUCCUGAACCAAGAGAAAACAGCGCCUGCCUGGGAGAAAUGACAAAUCACAGCUGGCGGAUCAAUCUGCGUAUGCACAGCCCUUCCCCAAGCCCACGCCGAGCAGCAGGAACCGGGACCCCGGCCCCAGGCUGGGCCCUCCCAGCCUCUCUUUCCAGCCUCUCCUGCAGAGGCUGAGCAGGGCCUCCGUGCCCCCCACCCAGCCCUGACUCCUCAGCAGGGAGGAGCAAGGUGUUUGUCUGUAUUUGGAACACAGGGCAAGAGGGUGCAGAGGGAGCCUCCGAACAUCUGCCUAGGACUCUGGAUGAAUCAGAAGGAAAGGCACCAGUUAACCUCUUGAUCUCACAUCCAGCCAUCCAGAGCUGAGUCUGUGCAUAUGGAGGGGUUCAAAUGCACUGAAAGUGCAUUUUCGUCACCUGGGCAAGGCAGACAGAGCCUCCUGACAUCCCCCUUGCUGUGGCUUCCUGCUGGUGACAUCAACAGGUGGUACAGCUUCCUAACCGCCUUCAAGGUCCCCUGAGACCAGGAGAGAGAAGGAAAUCCUAACAACCCCAGAGAAGGCCUGCAGUAGGUUGGAGCGCACUAGGGCCUGCAGCCACACUUCUUACUGAGAGUCCUGCUGUCAAAAGCCCUUGUGUGUUCCUACCUGCCACACUAAGCAUGAAUGGGAAGUCCGCAGCAGCAGCCUGGACGAGGGAGGGUCAAGAAGAAGGUGUUCCAACUAUUUGCUUUAAUAAAAACGUUUACUAGAAACACUAGAAAGUGUUUUCCCCCUCCCGCUCCCCCUCUCCCUCUCCCUCUCCCUCUCCCCACGGUCUCCCUCUCCCUCUCUUUCUACGGUCUCCCUCUGAUGCCGAGCCAAAGCUGGACUGUACUGCUGCCAUCUCGGCUCACUGCAACCUCCCUGCCUGAUUCUCCUGCCUCAGCCUGCCGAGUGCCUGCGAUUGCAGGCACGCACCACCACACCUGACUGGUUUUCGUAUUUUUUUGGUGGAGACGGGAUUUCGCUGUGUUGGCCGGGCCGGUCUCCAGCUCCUAACCGCGAGUGAUCCGCCA